UGAACGAUAGUUCCGCUACCGAAGACAGCAGGCACCGAAAGGUUUAAUUGCAUUGCAGCCAGCCGAGGUGGAGCGCAUGAUGAUAGUGCGACCCCCGUGUCUUCGACCGGGGGUCUUUUCUUUUCGUU
rfam:Slackia piriformis YIT 12062 genomic scaffold supercont1.1, whole genome shotgun sequence.